AACGUAGGUUUCGAGCGUUAUCCGGAUUUACUGGGCGUAAAGCGCGUUCAGGCGGUUCGGCAAGUCGGGCAUGAAAUCUCUCGGCUCAACCGGGAGAGGUUGUCCGAUACUGCUGGACUUGAGGGCAGUAGAGGGUGGUGGAAUUCCGGGUGUAGCGGUGAAAUGCGUAGAUAUCUGGAGGAAUACCGGUGGCGAAGGCGGCAUCCUGGACCGACAUUGACGCUGAGGAGCGAAAGCUAGGGGAGCAAACGGG
rnacentral:rRNA from 1 species